rnacentral:rRNA from 1 species
AUGAACGCUGGCGGCGCGCCUAACACAUGCAAGUCGAACGGCACCCCUCUCCGGAGGGAAGCGAGUGGCGAACGGCUGAGUAACACGUGGAGAACCUGCCCCCUCCCCCGGGAUAGCCGCCCGAAAGGACGGGUAAUACCGGAUAACCCCGGGCGCCGCAUGGCGCCCGGGCUAAAGCCCCGACGGGAGGGGAUGGCUCCGCGGCCCAUCAGGUAGACGGCGGGGUGACGGCCCACCGUGCCGACAACGGGUAGCCGGGUUGAGAGACCGACCGGCCAGAUUGGGACUGAGACACGGCCCAGACUCCUACGGGAGGCAGCAGUGGGGAAUCUUGCGCAAUGGGGGGAACCCUGACGCAGCGACGCCGCGUGCGGGACGGAGGCCUUCGGGUCGUAAACCGCUUUCAGCAGGGAAGAGUCAAGACUGUACCUGCAGAAGAAGCCCCGGCUAACUACGUGCCAGCAGCCGCGGUAAUACGUAGGGGGCGAGCGUUAUCCGGAUUCAUUGGGCGUAAAGCGCGCGUAGGCGGCCCGGCAGGCCGGGGGUCGAAGCGGGGGGCUCAACCCCCCGAAGCCCCCGGAACCUCCGCGGCUUGGGUCCGGUAGGGGAGGGUGGAACACCCGGUGUAGCGGUGGAAUGCGCAGAUAUCGGGUGGAACACCGGUGGCGAAGGCGGCCGUCUGGUCUGGAUUCUGACACUGAAGCACGAAAGCGUGGGGAGCAAAUAGGAUUAGAUACCCUAGUAGUCCACGCCGUAAACGAUGAGUGCUAAGUGUUGGAGGGUUUCCGCCCUUCAGUGCUGCAGCAAACGCAUUAAGCACUCCGCCUGGGGAGUACGGCCGCAAGGUUGAAACUCAAAGGAAUUGACGGGGGCCCGCACAAGCAGUGGAGUAUGUGGUUUAAUUCGAAGCAACGCGAAGAACCUUACCAAGUCUUGACAUCCCGGUGACAAAGUAUGUAAUGUACUCUUUCUUCGGAACACCGGUGACAGGUGGUGCAUGGUUGUCGUCAGCUCGUGUCGUGAGAUGUUGGGUUAAGUCCCGCAACGAGCGCAACCCCCGCCGCGUGUUGCCAUCGGGUGAUGCCGGGAACCCACGCGGGACCGCCGCCGUCAAGGCGGAGGAGGGCGGGGACGACGUCAAGUCAUCAUGCCCCUUAUGCCCUGGGCUGCACACGUGCUACAAUGGCCGGUACAGAGGGAUGCCACCCCGCGAGGGGGAGCGGAUCCCGGAAAGCCGGCCCCAGUUCGGAUUGGGGGCUGCAACCCGCCCCCAUGAAGUCGGAGUUGCUAGUAAUCGCGGAUCAGCAUGCCGCGGUGAAUGCGUUCCCGGGCCUUGUACACACCGCCCGUCACACCACCCGAGUCGUCUGCACCCGAAGUCGCCGGCCCAACCGAGAGGGGGGAGGCGCCGAAGGUGUGGAGGGUGAGGGGGGUG